CGUCCAACCACAUUGGAUGUUUGAGCUGCUUCCCCUGGAUCACCCCACUCAAUGACUCUUCAUUGUGGGGAUGACACCGACUACACAGUAGAACACAAGAGGAUCUUCCCCAGGCUGCAAUCAGGCUUUCAUAAUUGUGGAAACUGAGGGACACAGAAGCAAAGAGAUUCGCUCAUGGUCAAAAAGCCAGGAAUAGAAAAUGGCAGAUCUGCUGCUAGUCAGUCCUGGUGUUUAUCCUGGCCUCUCUGCUUCAGCUCCAGUAACAACCCAAGAAGAGGUUUUCGUCUUCUCCAUGUUCUUUAACUUCACGUCACUGCAGAAGAAAGAUUUUUUCUUACCAGCUGGCUCGAAUGCAUGUAGAUGUCUUUCCAGAAGAUGUGCUCUGGCUCAGUCACAUGUCCUAGGUUUUCUGGAGGAAGCACUCGGUGACGUUCUAGGGCCUGUGUUAUACAGAAGAUGGACAUAAUGGUUCUUUUGGACCUUAAACUUUUUCUUUUGCUAGGAGGAUAAUGCUGGACAUUUUCUCACAUUCAUUUUCCUUUAGAAUAAUUUAAAUCCAGUCCAAAGGAUUUCCUCUUC